rnacentral:tRNA from 1 species
GAUGAGGUGGCCGAGUGGUUAAGGCGAUGGACUGCUAAUCCAUUGUGAUCUGCAUUCAUGGGUUCGAAUCCCAUCCUCAUCG